CUUCUCCUACGGGGCGCAGCAGUGGGGACUAUUGCGCAAUGGGCGAAAGCCUGACGCAGCGACGCCGCGUGAGGGAUGAAGGGCUUCGGAUCGUAAACCUCUGUCAGCAGGGAAGAACGGUCACUGUGCUACUCAGCAGUGAAUUGACGGUACCUGCAAAGGAAGCACCGGCUAACUCCGUGCCAGCAGCCGCGGUAAUACGGAGGGUGCGAGCGUUAAUCGGAAUUACUGGGCGUACAGCGCUCGUAGGC
rnacentral:rRNA from 1 species